GACGAACGCUGGCGGCGUGCCUAAUACAUGCAAGUAGAACGCUGAAGAGAGGAGCUUGCUCUUCUUGGAUGAGUUGCGAACGGGUGAGUAACGCGUAGGUAACCUGCCUUGUAGCGGGGGAUAACUAUUGGAAACGAUAGCUAAUACCGCAUAACAAUAGGUGACACAUGUCAUUUAUUUGAAAGGGGCAAUUGCUCCACUACAAGAUGGACCUGCGUUGUAUUAGCUAGUAGGUGAGGUAACGGCUCACCUAGGCGACGAUACAUAGCCGACCUGAGAGGGUGAUCGGCCACACUGGGACUGAGACACGGCCCAGACUCCUACGGGAGGCAGCAGUAGGGAAUCUUCGGCAAUGGGGGCAACCCUGACCGAGCAACGCCGCGUGAGUGAAGAAGGUUUUCGGAUCGUAAAGCUCUGUUGUAAGUCAAGAACGAGUGUGAGAGUGGAAAGUUCACACUGUGACGGUAGCUUACCAGAAAGGGACGGCUAACUACGUGCCAGCAGCCGCGGUAAUACGUAGGUCCCGAGCGUUGUCCGGAUUUAUUGGGCGUAAAGCGAGCGCAGGCGGUUUGAUAAGUCUGAAGUUAAAGGCUGUGGCUCAACCAUAGUUCGCUUUGGAAACUGUCAAACUUGAGUGCAGAAGGGGAGAGUGGAAUUCCAUGUGUAGCGGUGAAAUGCGUAGAUAUAUGGAGGAACACCGGUGGCGAAAGCGGCUCUCUGGUCUGUAACUGACGCUGAGGCUCGAAAGCGUGGGGAGCGAACAGGAUUAGAUACCCUGGUAGUCCACGCCGUAAACGAUGAGUGCUAGGUGUUGGAUCCUUUCCGGGAUUCAGUGCCGCAGCUAACGCAUUAAGCGCUCCGCCUGGGGAGUACGACCGCAAGGUUGAAACUCAAAGGAAUUGACGGGGGCCCGCACAAGCGGUGGAGCAUGUGGUUUAAUUCGAAGCAACGCGAAGAACCUUACCAGGUCUUGACAUCCCGAUGCUAUUUCUAGAGAUAGAAAGUUACUUCGGUACAUCGGUGACAGGUGGUGCAUGGUUGUCGUCAGCUCGUGUCGUGAGAUGUUGGGUUAAGUCCCGCAACGAGCGCAACCCCUAUUGUUAGUUGCAAUCAUUCAGUUGGGCACUCUAGCGAGACUGCCGGUAAUAAACCGGAGGAAGGUGGGGAUGACGUCAAAUCAUCAUGCCCCUUAUGACCUGGGCUACACACGUGCUACAAUGGUUGGUACAACGAGUUGCGAGUCGGUGACGGCAAGCUAAUCUCUUAAAGCCAAUCUCAGUUCGGAUUGUAGGCUGCAACUCGCCUACAUGAAGUCGGAAUCGCUAGUAAUCGCGGAUCAGCACGCCGCGGUGAAUACGUUCCCGGGCCU
rnacentral:rRNA from 1 species